rnacentral:rRNA from 1 species
AGCGAACGCUGGCGGCAGGCCUAACACAUGCAAGUCGAGCGCCCAGCAAUGGGAGCGGCAGACGGGAGAGUAACACGUGGGAACGUACCUUUCAGUUCGGAACAACCAAGGGAAACUUUGGCUAAUACCGAAUACGCCCGUAAGGGGAAAGAUUUAUCGCUGAAAGAUCGGCCCGCGUCUGAUUAGCUAGUUGGUGAGGUAAUGGCUCACCAAGGCGACGAUCAGUAGCUGGUCUGAGAGGAUGAUCAGCCUCACUGGGACUGAGACACGGCCCAGACUCCUACGGGAGGCAGCAGUGGGGAAUAUUGGACAAUGGGCGCAAGCCUGAUCCAGCCAUGCCGCGUGGAUGAUGAAGGCCCUAGGGUUGUAAAGUCCUUUCGACGGGGAAGAUAAUGACGGUACCCGUAGAAGAAGCCCCGGCUAACUUCGUGCCAGCCGCCGCAGUAACAC